rnacentral:lncRNA from 1 species
CAAAAGAGACCGUGGUCUCAGCUUGAGUCCCUGCUUAAAUAAAGGUUAAAUAAAUACUAAAAAAGUCAAAGAUGUUAGUUGUAUAGUCAAAGAUGUUAUACUUCUAUAGUAAAAUGUAUUGUAGUACAGAAAUACUCCACAACUAUUGUACUGUCUAUUGCAGAAACUGGAAAUCUGAUGCAGAUCUUGACUAAAUCAUUGGGGUUUACAUGGUUGGAAAUCUCAUAGAUAUUUGAAUGAUUUAUGGUGCUACUCUCUGGCUGACAAACAAAACAUGCUUUUGCUUCUUCUUAUAUAAUAGAAACAUGAUUUGGCCCAGUAAGGCAAACAUUAUGCUAGUAAUUAAUAAUCCUUUGUGAACAAGGCACUGCCUUGGACAUCAGCUCUGUUAUUUUCCAUCUUUUCAGGAAUCGCACAAUGUGUAAAAGACAUUCCGGCCGUGUGGAAAAUGUGUGCGCUAUAAGUGAAGGAACAGACAUUGGUCCCAUUCCAGAGGCAUAUAACAUGAUCCUCAGAGAGGACCACACUGAGCUACAGAGGACCACUGUGCAUGUGUCUCUGCACAGUGCAGUAAGGGAGUGGGAGAGCAGGGUGUACAGAGAACAAUGCUCUAUUAUCCCCUAUCAUAAAAGAAAUAGAAGAAGCUCACAGAUACUGGAAGCUGGAUUAUUAUGACAGCCAGGGCUAUGGUGGCUCUGACAUGCUAAUAAUACAAUGCUGGUUGUUGCAACAGGAGAGAGAGAGAGACAGAUCAUGAAACAAGAGCUAUGGGUUUGGCCCCCCUGUUCUGUUGACUCUG